GAUGAACGCUGGCGGCGUGCCUAACACAUGCAAGUCGAACGGAGAUUACGGACGGAAGUUUUCGGAUGGAAGACUGUAAUUCUUAGUGGCGGACGGGUGAGUAACGCGUGGGCAACCUGCCCUAUACAGGGGGAUAGCAGCUGGAAACGGCUGGUAAGACCGCAUAAGUCGGCGAGACCGCAUGGUUUUGCCGGGUAAUGAGCAAUCAGGUAUAGGAUGGGCCCGCGUCCGAUUAGCCAGUUGGCAGGGUAAAAGCCUACCAAAGCAACGAUCGGUAGCCGGACUGAGAGGUCGGACGGCCACAUUGGGACUGAGACACGGCCCAAACUCCUACGGGAGGCAGCAGUGGGGGAUAUUGCACAAUGGAGGAAACUCUGAUGCAGCGACGCCGCGUGAGUGAAGAAGUAUUUCGGUAUGUAAAGCUCUAUCAGCAGGGAAGAUGAUGACGGUACCUGACGAAGAAGCCCCGGCUAACUACGUG
rnacentral:rRNA from 1 species